CUUAACGUCUGGUGGAGUCUCGAGCACAUGUGUACCCAGAAGAGAAAGGAUGGGUCAUAAACACGAGAGGAGGGGAGAUACCGAGGAAGCCAGAUUUUGAGGGCUCAGGGUGAAGGUCGAGACGUGGAAAGUGGUAGAAGUUUUUCUUCUGGAAUAAGAGGAACGAAGGAAGAAUAGGUUUAAGCCUAGAGAAGUCUGAAGAUGGUGAGGAAGACCAAGUCGCUAUGAUUUUUCCCCCCUCUAAUAUGGAUGGAUUCCAGAAAACCCAGAAACAAUAUCUAUCAAGAUCAGAGCAGAGGAAGGAGAGGAAUGGCAAAUAAACAUUUUCCAGUGUUGAGUUAGGAAGAUAUUCGAUCUUUCAAUGUGCUCAACAAAUGGGUUUAAUAAUGCACAUUUCGGUAUAAAACAGUUCACAACAGAAAUAUUUGCUACUCAGCCCAUUUAUCCUGGGAAUUACACAACAUGGACCAUUUUCAAUAACUCUUUUCAUUAUAAUGAUUUCCUCCUGCUCAAGCAACAGAGAUGUACAAACCAUUUUGGUCUAGAAAUGUAGUACGUUGAGAUACAAAUGUAUUAAAAUUAAAAUGUAAUCAUUUUCAUCACUUUGGUUCAGUGUUAUAUUGCCUUUCUCAAGGUACUUUAGCCUAAAGUCUUUCCAACUAGAAUAUAAAGUUGCUUUUUAUUCAGAAUCCAUACAACUAGACAACUUGACAAAAGAGAUUUAUUUAAAAGUCAUGGUAAACUACUGGUAGACCAAAACAAGAAAUGAAGAUAUAUUUUUAGGAAACCAAUUGGUUUCUCUUAAUUUUGUAAGUUAAAGAUCUUGAAGUGCCUUUUGAAUCGUAAAAAAUAAUAUUGUUUGGUAUAAUUUUGACUUGUAGAAUUUUAUAUUUUAAUGUCAAUCCAUAUAUAUUAUAUAGAUAGUAACUUUUACUUAAUAGGAUCACUGAAUUAUGUAAAACCUCUUUGAACAUUCCAAAUGAGUGGAAGUAUAGCAUCACCCAUUUCAUCAUUCAUUCAUUUAUUCAGCAAACAGGUAUUGAAAGCAUAAGAUGUGUAUAGUACAACAGCAGAAACUAAAUCCCCAAGGAGUUUACCAAGUAAUAGAGGGAAUUAAGAUAUAUUUCUAUAUAACUAUAAUUUACGGUACAGUAGCCCCCCCCCCAUCCACUGGGGAUACUUUCCAAGAUGCCCAGUGGAUGCCUAGAACCACGGAUAGAACCAAACCCCAUAUAUACUGGUUUUUCCUAUGCAUACAUACCUAUGAUAAAGUUAAAUUUAUAAAGUAGGCACAGUAAGAGAUGAACAACAGUAACUCGUAACAUAAUAGAACAAUAACAAUAUACUGUAAUAAAAGUUAUGUGAACGUGG